rnacentral:rRNA from 1 species
GACGAACGCUGGCGGCGUGCUUAACACAUGCAAGUCGAACGGAAAGGCCCUGCUUUUGUGGGGUGCUCGAGUGGCGAACGGGUGAGUAACACGUGAGUAACCUGCCCUUGACUUUGGGAUAACUUCAGGAAACUGGGUCUAAUACCGGAUAGGAGCUCCUGCUGCAUGGUGGGGGUUGGAAAGUUUCGGCGGUUGGGGAUGGACUCGCGGCUUAUCAGCUUGUUGGUGGGGUAGUGGCUUACCAAGGCUUUGACGGGUAGCCGGCCUGAGAGGGUCACCGGCCACAUUGGGACUGAGAUACGGCCCAGACUCCAACGGGAGGCAGCGGUGGGGAAUAGUGCACAGUGGGCGGAAGCCUGAUGCAGCAACGCCGCGUGCGGGAUGACGGCCUUCGGGUUGUAAACCGCUUUCGCCUGUGACGAAGCGUGAGUGACGGUAAUGGGUAAAGAAGCACCGGCUAACUACGUG